UGUGACCUCAAAUCAGGUAGGACUACCCGCUGAACUUAAGCAUAUCAAUAAGCGGAGGAAAAGAAACUAACAAGGAUUCCCCUAGUAACUGCGAGUGAAGCGGGAAAAGCUCAAAUUUAAAAUCUGUCAGUCUUUGGCUGUCCGAGUUGUAAUCUAGAGAAGCGUUAUCCGCGCUGGACCGUGUACAAGUCUCCUGGAAUGGAGCGUCAUAGAGGGUGAGAAUCCCGUCUUUGACACGGACUGCCAGGGCUUUGUGAUGCGCUCUCAAAGAGUCGAGUUGUUUGGGAAUGCAGCUCAAAAUGGGUGGUAAAUUCCAUCUAAAGCUAAAUAUUGGCGAGAGACCGAUAGCGAACAAGUACCGUGAGGGAAAGAUGAAAAGAACUUUGGAAAGAGAGUUAAACAGUACGUGAAAUUGCUGAAAGGGAAACGCUUGAAGUCAGUCGCGUUGGCCAGGGAUCAACCUUGCUUUUGCUUGGUGUACUUUCUGGUUGACGGGUCAGCAUCAAUUUUGACUGUUGGAAAAAGGUCAGGGGAAUGUGGCAUCUUCGGAUGUGUUAUAGCCCUUGGUUGCAUACAAUGGUUGGGAUUGAGGAACUCAGCACGCCGCAAGGCCGAGUAAUUUUACUACGUACGUGCUUAGGAUGCUGGCAUAAUGGCUUUAAUCGACCCGUCUUGAAACACGGACCAAGGAGUCUAACAUGCCUGCGAGUGUUUGGGUGGAAAACCCGAGCGCGUAAUGAAAGUGAAAGUUGAGAUCCCUGUCGUGGGGAGCAUCGACGCCCGGACCAGACCUUUUGUGACGGUUCCGCGGUAGAGCAUGUAUGUUGGGACCCGAAAGAUGGUGAACUAUGCCUGAAUAGGGUGAAGCCAGAGGAAACUCUGGUGGAGGCUCGUAGCGAUUCUGACGUGCAAAUCGAUCGUCAAAUUUGGGUAUAGGGGCGAAAGACUAAUCGAAC
rnacentral:rRNA from 1 species